GUCUCACGCUCUGCCGCCUUAAUUAAUCAGAAAUGCCAUGUGAAGAACAAAGACAUCCGAAAGUUUCUUGAUGGAAUCUAUGUGAGUGAGAAGGGAAGCAUCACCGAUGACCAGUAGAUAUUAUGUGUCCCGUUAAAAGCUUAUUUCAGUUCAGAAGAGAUGUUUAAGAGUGUGUUAACUCUUAGCUUUCAUGUUGUCAUCUUUAUAAACAUUCUCAGUGAAAUUUUGUUUUAGUGGUUGGUGAUUUUAUACUAUUUAUGCAGUUCAUCUUUAUCAGUUGAGACAACUACUCUUGUUAAUUAAAUGUGACAAACAUCGAAUUUGAUUUUGUAUCAGUGAUGUCUAUGGCUUUGAUCACUGGAAUGAGCAUUUUGUUGAACAUGCUGCAUUGUUCUUUUGAACA